CACAAUUCUAUAUUUUUCGGUGUAAAAUACUUGUUAUUUUACUUAAAAGGGAAGUCGGUGUAAGUCCGACGCGGUCCCGCCACUGUAAUAGGGAGUUAUAUAGAAAUUGCCACUGUCCAACGGAUGGGAAGGCCUAUAAAACAAUGAACUAGAGCCAGGAGACCUGCCGAAAAUACGUGACCGUU
rnacentral:ncRNA from 2 species